AGUUAAAGAUGGAGGGUAAAGAUGGAGGGUAAAGAUGGAGGGUAAAGAUGGAGGUUAAAUAUGGAGGUUAAAGAUGGAGGUUAAAGAUGGAGGGUAAAGAUGGAGGUUAAAGAUGGAGGUUAAAGAUGGAGGGUAAAGAUGGAGUUAAAGAUGGAAGGUAAAGAUGGAGGUUAAAGAUGGAGGUUAAAGAUGGAGGGUAAAGAUGGAAGGUAAAGAUGGAGGUUAAAGAUGGAGGGUAAAGAUGGAGUUAAAGAUGGAGGGUAAAG